rnacentral:pre_miRNA from 12 species
GUGAGUGUUUCUUUGGCAGUGUCUUAGCUGGUUGUUGUGUGCAAUAGUGAAGGAAGCAAUCAGCAAGUAUACUGCCCUAGAAGUGCUGCAC